AUGACCUUCAGGCCACUCUUGACCACCUUGGAUGACCUUCAGACCACCUUGAAUGCCCUUUGGACCACCUUGGAUGACCUUUGGACCACCUUGGCCCACCUUGGACAACCCUCAGGCCACCUUGGACCACUCUGGACCACCUUGAAUGACCCUCAGGCCACCUUGGACCACCUUGGACCAUCUUGGACCACCUUGGUUGAACCUCAGGCCACUCUUGACCACCUUGGAUGACUCUUGGACCACCUUGGCCCACCAUGAAUGACCUUUGGACCACCUUGGUUGACCUCAAAUGACCUUUAGGCCACCUUGGACCACCAGGAAUGACCCUCAGGCCACCUUGAACCACCUUGGACCAUCCUAAAUGACCUUUAGGCCACCUUGGAUGACCCUUGGACCAUCUUAGACAACCUUUGGACCACCUUGGAUGACCCUUGGACCACCUUGGCCCACCAUGAAUGACCUUCAGGCCACUUUGGAUCACCUUGGAUGAUCUUCAGACCACCUUGGACAACCAGGGAUGACCCACAGACCACCUUGGAGAACUCCUGGCCCACCAUGAAUGACCCUCAGACCAUCUUGGAUGACUUUUAGAUCACCUUGGACCAUCUCAAAUGACCUUCAGGCCACCUUGGAUGACCCUUGGACCAUCUUGGACAACCUUUGGACCACCUUGGAUGACCCUUGGACCACCUUGGAUGACCUCAAAUGACCCGCAGGCCACCUUGGACCACCUUGGACAACUCUUGGCCCACCAUGAAUGACCCUUGGACCACCUUGGACAACCUCAAACGACCUUCAGGCCACUCUUGACCACCUUGGAUGAUCUUCAGACCACCUUGAACUAUCUUGGCCCACCUUGGUUGACCCUUGGACCACCUUGGCCCACCAUGAAUGACCUUCAGACCACCUUGGUCCACCUUGAAUGACCUUCAGGCCACCUUGGCCACCACAAGGACCUUCAGGCCACCUUGGAUGACCUUUAGAUCAUCUUGGACCACCUUGGCCACCACAAGGACCUU
rnacentral:lncRNA from 1 species